UACGGGGGGGGCAAGCGUUGUUCGGAAUUACUGGGCGUAAAGGGUUCGUAGGUGGCUCGCUAAGUCAGACGUGAAAUCCCUCAGCUUAACUGGGGAACUGCGUCUGAGACUGGCAAGCUUGAGUGCAGGAGAGGAACGCGGAAUUCCAGGUGUAGCGGUGAAAUGCGUAGAUAUCUGGAGGAACACCUAUAGCGAAGGCAGCUUGCUGGGACGUAACUGACGCUAAGGCGCGAAAGCAUGGGGAGCGAACAGG
rnacentral:rRNA from 1 species